rnacentral:rRNA from 1 species
GCCUUAACUCUUAGCCCAAAUCAACACAAUCAACCUAUGUAUUUCAACAAACUAAAACAUUUUAACAUCAACCCCUAGUAUUUGAGACAGAAAGGAAUAACCGGAGCUUUAGAUAAAGUACUGUGAAGGAACAAAUGAAAGAUUUCCCCAAGCACGAAAAAGCCAAGUUUAAAUCUUGUACCUUUUGCAUAAAUGGUUUAGCUAGAAAAUCUAUACACAAAGAUUUGUAAUAUAAAACCCCGAAACUAAAUGAGCUACUAUAGGACAAUUUAUCAGAAUGCACCCGUCUAUGUCGCAAAAUAGUGGGACGAUUUUAUAGUAGAGGUGAAAAAUCAACCGGAUUUAGUGAUAGCUGGUUAACCAAGAAAUGAAUUUAAGUUCAACAGUAAGUUUAUUUCCCUAGCACCCUAUAUGACUCAUAAACUUACUAGCUACUUAUAAGAGGGUCAGCCCUUAUAAGUAAGGAAACAACCUCCAAUAGAGGGAAACUCUUACCACGUACAUAGUAGGCUUAAAAGCAGACACCUAUUAAGAAAGCGUUAAAGCUCAAACCCAACCCUUUUCUCUAAUUCCACAAUAUCUCAACUACCCCUAAAUCAAUAUUGGUUUAUUCUAUAUCUUUAUAGAAGAAAUAAUGCUAAAAUAAGUAACCAGAAUUUAUUCUCCUUGCACUAGCUUAAGUUAGAACGGAACAACCACUAACAAUUAACAGUUAAAUAAUUAAAACUAUAAACAAGAGCCAUUAUUUUUCUUGACUGUUAACCCGACACAGGCGUGCACUAAAGGAAAGAUAAAAAAGAGUAAAAGGAACUCGGCAAAUUAGGAUUUCGCCUGUUUACCAAAAACAUCGCCUCUAGCAUAACAAGUAUUAGAGGUCCUGCCUGCCCAGUGAUAUUAUUAAACGGCCGCGGUAUCCUGACCGUGCAAAGGUAGCAUAAUCACUUGUCUCCUAAUUAGAGACUAGCAUGAACGGCUAAACGAAAAUCCAACUGUCUCUUACUCUCAAUCAGUGAAAUUGCCCUCCCCGUGCAGAGACGGGGAUAAGAACAUAAGACGAGAAGACCCUGUGGAGCUUUAAUUAAAGAGUAACUUCUUCGAACAUUCAACUUAAGGGUGUAGCAUCUAAAAAUUUUACUCAACUAGUUUCGGUUGGGGUGACCUCGGAGAACAGUUAAACCUCCGAAUGAACAGUAAAGACCUACAAGUCUAAACGCAAUACUGCCAGUAAUAGACCCAUAUUAUUGAUCAAAGGACCAAGUUACCCCAGGGAUAACAGCGCAAUCCCAUUCUAGAGUUCAUAUCGACAAUGGGGUUUACGACCUCGAUGUUGGAUCAGGACAUCCAAAUGGUGCAGCAGCUAUUAAUGGUUCGUUUGUUCAACGAUUAAAGUCCUACGUGAUCUGAGUUCAGACCGGAGCAAUCCAGGUCGGUUUCUAUCUAUGAGUUAUUUCUCCCAGUACGAAAGGACCAGAGAAAUCAGGCCAAUCUCACAAAGAAGCCUUCUAUCUAACAAAUGAUAUCAUCUUAAUUUGUUCACACCACUCUCUACAAUCCUAGACAAGGAGCC